AAUAUACUUAGCCAGAAAACAAGAGAGAGAGAGAGAGAGUAAUGGCUUUGGAAAACUGUUUGCAACUAAGCACAGUGUGCACUACAAGAGUUGGUGCUGCACAAUGCUAUCAGCCAUUUUCUUCCAGGGAAAGGCUUAUUGUGCCAACCUGCAAUGGAUUGAAGAAAUCUGUUUUGAAAUUCUCUUCAUCUUCAUCUUUUGCUCCUUCCAAUAAAUCCCACAGAUCCCGCUUUAUUUGCAAGGCUCGUGAAGCUGUGAAUGAAGGUUAGCUGCACAGUCUCUGCUAUUAUUGUUGUUUGUUUCUGAUUAAUUCUUAAUUAUUUAUGUUGAAUGUCACUCUCCCUUGAUUUCGUUAGGAAUCUUGUAACUUCUAUAUGUAGAUGUAUGACAACUAGAAGAAGAAAUGACAACAGAUAUUAGUGCAAUGAACAACUCAAGAAGGUGUUGAAAGCAGCUACAGUUAUUAACCACUUACAGAAUUGACAAUUGAGUUUAUUAUGCAAUAUCUUCUUUUGCUUUUUUUUAAUUGAUGGCAAUUUUUUGCUACGCAAAAUUUGUUCUUUCGUAUAUAAUACCCAUGUCGUGUUGGUCACAUGACCAGUUAUUUUCAUACAUAUAUAUGUACAGUAGAGUGUAUGCAAGUUAGUGAGUUCAUUGACUCGUGCAAACUCUGCAGUUCAAGUGGUGAAUGAUUCAAGUUGGAAUAACCUGGUGAUUGCAAGUGAGGACCCAGUUCUGGUAGAAUUUUGGGCACCGUGGUGUGGACCAUGCAGGAUGAUUGCCCCAGUGAUCGACGAACUGGCGAAAGAGUAUGCUGGGAAGAUAGCAUGUUUCAAGCUCAAUACUGAUGACAGCC
rnacentral:lncRNA from 1 species